CCUACGGGUGACAGCAGUGGGGAAUAUUGCGCAAUGGGCGAAAGCCUGACGCAGCGACGCCGCGUGAGGGAUGAAGGUCUUCAGAUCGUAAACCUCUGUCAGCAGGGACGAACGGUCACUGUGCUAAUCAGCCGUUAAUUGACGGUACCUGCAUAGGAAGCACCGGCUAACUCCGUGCCAGCAGCCGCGGUAAUACGGAGGGUGCGAGCGUUACUCGGAUUUACUGGGCGUAAAGCGAUCGUAGGCGGUAUGUCAAGUCAAGGGUGAAAUCCCCGGGCUCAACGUGGGAACUGCAUUUGAAACUGGUGAACUGGAGUGUGUGAGAGGAGAGUGGAAUUCCAGGUGUAGGAGUGAAAUGCGUAGAUAUCUGGAGGAACAUCAGUGGCGAAGGCGACUAUCUGGCACAUAACUGACGCUGAGGAGCGAAAGCGUGGGUAGCAAACAGGAUUAGAUACCCUUGUAGUC
rnacentral:rRNA from 1 species